GCGGAGGAAAAGAAACCAACAGGGAUUGCCUCAGUAACGGCGAGUGAAGCGGCAAAAGCUCAAAUUUGGAAUCUCAGUCUUUCAGGCUGCGAGUUGUAAUUUGAAGACGUAUUUUGAAGUAAGCACAUGUCGAAGUUCCUUGGAACAGGACGUCACAGAGGGUGAGAAUCCCGUGCGAUGUGUUCACUGCUUCAUGUAAAAUGCAGUCGAAGAGUCGAGUUGUUUGGGAAUGCAGCUCUAAGUGGGUGGUAAAUUCCAUCUAAAGCUAAAUAUUGGCGAGAGACCGAUAGCGAACAAGUACAGUGAUGGAAAGAUGAAAAGAACUUUGAAAAGAGAGUGAAAAAGUACGUGAAAUUGUUGAAAGGGAAGGGCUUGAGAUCAGACUCGGGCAACCGGGCCAGCAUGGGGUGGGGGAGUAGGAUAACCCUGCAGGAAAGUGGCUUCGCUUCGGUGGAGUGUUAUAGCCUGUAGCUAUACUGCUACCCUCGCCCGAGGACUGCGGAAACAAGGAUGCUGGCAUAAUGAUCUUAAGCCGCCCG
rnacentral:rRNA from 1 species